rnacentral:rRNA from 1 species
AUGAACAAGAUUGACUCGGACCACCCGCGUCACCUGCAGCCGGUGGGCGAGCCCGCCGGGCAGCCCGUCACCGUCACGUCGGACGUGUACGAGGCCGUCCGCGAUGCGCACGCCGUCUGCAUCCUGACCGAGUGGGAGGAGUUCAGGAGCCUCGACUGCAGGCGCAUGUACAACGUGAUGCAGAAGCUGGCUUUCGUCUUCGCCGUCGCAACAUCGUCGACCCGUAGAAGCUCUGGGACAUUGGAUUCAUCGUCUAUGCAAUUGGCAAGCCGCUUGACCAGUGCCCAGUGGCUCAAGGACAUGCCAGCCAUCGCCCUAGGCGAUGCACACUAA